rnacentral:rRNA from 1 species
GAUGAACGCUGGCGGCGUGCCUAAUACAUGCAAGUCGAGCGAACGGACGAGAAGCUUGCUUCUCUGCUGUUAGCGGCGGACGGGUGAGUAACACGUGGAUAACCUACCUAUAUGUCUGGUAUAACUUCGAGAAACCGUCGCUAAUACCGUAUAAUAUUUUGAACCGCAUGGUUGAAAAGAAAAUGACGGUCUUGGUGUCACUUAUAGAUGGAUCCGCGCUGUAUUAUCUAGUUGGUAAGGUAACGGCUUAUCAAGGCAACGAGGCAUAGCCGAGCUGAGAGAGGGAUAGGCGACACUGGAACGGAGACACGGACCAGGCGACUGCGAGAGGCAGCAGUAGGGAAACGUCGGCAAUGGGCGAAAGCAUGACAGAACAGCGGGGAGUGAGAUAUGAAGAUCUUCGGAGCGUAAAAAUGUAUUAUUGGGGAAAAACAUAUUUGGAAGUAGCUGUGCAGAUCUUGACGGUACCUGAUCAGAAAGCCACGGCUAACUACGUG